rnacentral:rRNA from 1 species
CCUACGGGAGGCAGCAGUGAGGAAUAUUGGGCAAUGCCCGUAAGGGUGACCCAGCAACGCCGCGUGGAGGAUGAAUGCCGUAAGGUUGUAAACUCCUGUUAGAGGGGAAGAAAAAUUCCGAUCAACUCGGAAACUGACUGUACCCUCAGAGAAAGCCCCGGCUAACUACGUGCCAGCAGCCGCGGUAAU